rnacentral:rRNA from 1 species
UGCCAGCCGCCGCGGUAAUACGUAGGAGGCAAGCGUUGUUCGGAUUUAUUGGGCGUAAAGGGCAUGUAGGCGGUUAUAUAAGUGUGGAUUUAAAGACCGGGGCUUAACCCCGUGUAUGGUCUGCAAACUGUAUGACUGGAGUCCGGGAAGGGAGACUGGAAUUUCACGUGUAAGGGUAAUAUCUGUAGAUAUGUGAAAGAAUACCAAUGGCGAAGGCAAGUCUCUAGCCCGUGACUGACGCUAAUGUGCGAAAGUGUGGGGAGCGAACAGGAUUAGAUA